GGGACACGUGGUAUCCUGUCUGAAUAUGGGGGGACCAUCCUCCAAGGCUAAAUACUCCUGACUGACCGAUAGUGAACCAGUACCGUGAGGGAAAGGCGAAAAGAACCCCGGCGAGGGGAGUGAAAAAGAACCUGAAACCGUGUACGUACAAGCAGUGGGAGCACGCUUAGGCGUGUGACUGCGUACCUUUUGUAUAAUGGGUCAGCGACUUAUAUUCUGUAGCAAGGUUAACCGAAUAGGGGAGCCGAAGGGAAACCGAGUCUUAACUGGGCGUUAAGUUGCAGGGUAUAGACCCGAAACCCGGUGAUCUAGCCAUGGGCAGGUUGAAGGUUGGGUAACACUAACUGGAGGACCGAACCGACUAAUGUUGAAAAAUUAGCGGAUGACUUGUGGCUGGGGGUGAAAGGCCAAUCAAACCGGGAGAUAGCUGGUUCUCCCCGAAAGCUAUUUAGGUAGCGCCUCGUGAAUUCAUCUCCGGGGGUAGAGCACUGUUUCGGCAAGGGGGUCAUCCCGACUUACCAACCCGAUGCAAACUGCGAAUACCGGAGAAUGUUAUCACGGGAGACACACGGCGGGUGCUAACGUCCGUCGUGAAGAGGGAAACAACCCAGACCGCCAGCUAAGGUCCCAAAGUCAUGGUUAAGUGGGAAACGAUGUGGGAAGGCCCAGACAGCCAGGAUGUUGGCUUAGAAGCAGCCAUCAUUUAAAGAAAGCGUAAUAGCUCACUGGUCGAGUCGGCCUGCGCGGAAGAUGUAACGGGGCUAAACCAUGCACCGAAGCUGCGGCAGCGACACUAUGUGUUGUUGGGUAGGGGAGCGUUCUGUAAGCCUGUGAAGGUGUGCUGUGAGG
rnacentral:rRNA from 1 species